rnacentral:ncRNA from 1 species
AAACCUGUCUAUUCAAAUCUAUAUAUAGUCUGGUAAAAUAUUACUACAACUAUCGGCCCAACUGGAUAGCAAUAUUCAGAUUUGAAUCGGGUGAACUCAAGGAACCCUAAGUCCUUUUGGAUAUGGCAAUCUUGAGCCAAGCUGAGGUAGCCUGUAUAAAUUGACCUCAGAAGGUGCAACGCAUAGAUGGUGAGGAAGGCAACCAAUAAUCCAUCCACGAGCGCCCGACAUCCCAUGUGGAUGAUGAUAUAUGCUGAACUGUAAGAAAACUUACAG